rnacentral:tRNA from 1 species
UCCGAAAUGGAGUAAUGGUCAACUUAACUGUCUCUCAUGAAAAUGAAGUACGUUCACAGUAGCUCGGGGUUCGAUUCCCCGUUUCGGAG